ensembl:lncRNA
CAGCUAUCCAGGAACACUGAACAAACAAUCUGACUCAACGUCCAGUCAGAGAGGGGAGAAGAACUGAAAGACGCGUCUAUUUACAGACCAACAGGAGGCUGCCAUUGUGUAAAUAGUAGUUGAAAAUAAUGCCACAAGACUACGAGAAAUCCAGCAACAGAUUAUUGAAAACCCUGCCAUCUUCCUUAACAUCAGAGUGAGCUUAUCAACCAUCCUUAAUUAAGAAACACCAUCUUUGGAUGAAGCAAAUCUACAGAGUCCCGUUUGAAAGGAAUUCCCAAAGAGUGAAGGAUAAACGGUACGUGCAAGUAAGUAAUGAGAAUCAUGGAGUUGGAUGCAAGUCCUAUCCCCAAAGAACUCAUAUUCACCGAUGAUGCUGAGUUCAAUUUAGAGAAGACAUGGAGGAGAGGAAGGAACAUCCUUGGUCAACGCGCCCUCAUUGAGGUACCUGACCAGCGCGGGGCAAAUGUCGUCAUAUGCACAGCAAUGAGCCACAAUGGGGUAAUCCACUGCCAUGCCACCCUUGGACCAUAAAACACUGCCCAAAUCCUUCAUUUCCCGAACACCUUACAUGACAAUCUUUUCAGCCAGAGCAGAUAGGGCCAGGUGAUCCUGAACAGCAAAUGUAUGUUCUGAUUUGGGACAACGUGAGUUUUCUUCGGGCUGCUCAGGUCCACAACUCCUUCCAUGACCAUCCCUGGUUUACAAUUCUUUAUCUCUCACCAUAUUCCCCAUUUCUCAACUCCACUGAGGAGUUGUUUUCAGCACGGCGGUUGAAGGUGUAUGAUCACAAACCCCAUGAACGUAUGGCCCUUCUCCAGGCAAUGGAGGAGGCCUGUGGUGACAUUUCAACAGAGUUCUGUCAGGUGUGGAGGCGUCAUGACAGAAGAUAUUUCCUGCGCUGUCUGGCCAAGGAGAAUAUUGCCUGUGAUAUUGGUGAAAAUCUGUGGCCGGACCAAAA